rnacentral:rRNA from 1 species
UACGUAGGGGGCAAGCGUUGUCCGGAUUUAUUGGGCGUAAAGAGCGUGUAGGCGGCCAGGUAGGUCAGCUGUGAAAACUCGAGGCUCAACCUCGAGAUGUCGGCUGAAACCAUCUGGCUAGAGUCCGGAAGAGGAGAAUGGAAUUCCCGGUGUAGCGGUGAAAUGCGCAGAUAUCGGGAGGAACACCUAUGGCGAAGGCAGCUCGCUGGGACGUUACUGACGCUGAGACGCGAAAGCGUGGGGAGCGAACAGG